rnacentral:snoRNA from 1 species
GGGCCUAAUGAUUUUUUUUGGUAUUAGUUUAAUUUAAAUUUGAUAUGAGUUUUAAAAUCACAUUGAGUCCUU